rnacentral:misc_RNA from 1 species
UAGUGAAAAAUACAACUCUUGAAUAUUUUUUUAAAAAAAUUCUGUCAUUGUUAUAAAAUCAACCUCCACCUCCUAUAGGGUCUAAGCAUUCCUGUUGACGCAAUUGGUAAUUUUGAAGUAUACCACUAGCUUAUUUAUGGAAAGUGUUGUAGGAUUGUAUGAUUAUACCAAGCCUUGAUGGAUUAUGUAUACAAAUCCAUGCUCUCUGAUGCCCAUCACAAAGAACAAGCGAAAAUGCAUUAUAUUUCUUCCAUAAUAACAUUUAUACAAUGCUAAUUCCUGCUACAAUAAUGUGCAUCUUACUAUGUGAUUAUAUAAUAAACCGUGACAAAAGUG